rnacentral:rRNA from 1 species
GACGAACGCUGGCGGCGUGCCUAAUGCAUGCAAGUCGCACGCAGCAUGGUUCGCCAUGCUGAGUGGCGCACGGCUGAGGAUACCGUGGGUACGUGCCCUCCAGUGGGGGAUAACAGCCCGAAAGGGCUGCUAAUCCCGCAUACGCUCACCCUCGGGUGAGGAAAGCGCAAAAGCGCUGGAGGAGCGGCCCGCGUCCCAUCACGGUAGUUGGCGGGGUAACGGCCCACCAAGCCUUUGACGGGUCGCUGGUCUGUGAGGACAACCAGCCAGACUGGGACUGAGACACGGCCCAGACUCCUACGGGAGGCAGCAGCAAGGAAUUUUCCACAAUGGGCGCAAGCCUGAUGGAGCAACGCCGCGUGCAGGACGACGGCCUUCGGGUUGUAAACUGCUUUUGGGGGUGAAGACAUCGACGGUAGCCCCCGAAUAAGCCUCGGCUAACUCUGUGCCAGCAGCCGCCGUAAAAC